UACAGAGGUCUCAAGCGUUGUUCGGAUUCAUUGGGCGUAAAGGGUGUGUAGGUGGCGCCGUAAGUCAGGUGUGAAAUUUCGGAGCUUAACUCCGAAACUGCAUUUGAUACUGCGGUGCUUGAGGACUGGAGAGGAGACUGGAAUUUCCUGUGUAGCGGUGAAAUGCGUAGAUAUAGGAAGGAAUACCAGUGGCGAAGGCGGCCUCCUGGAUCGAUACUGACGCUGAGGCGCGAAAGCGUGGGGAGCAAACAGG
rnacentral:rRNA from 1 species